rnacentral:rRNA from 1 species
CCUACGGGAGGCAGCAGUGGGGAAUAUUGCACAAUGGGGGGAACCCUGAUGCAGCGACGCCGCGUGGGUGAAGGAGUAUUUCGGUAUGUAAAGCCCUAUCAGCAGGGAAGAACAAUGACGGUACCUAACUAAGAAGCACCGGCUAAAUACGUGCCAGCAGCCGCGGUAAUACGUAUGGUGCAAGCGUUAUCCGGAUUUACUGGGUGUAAAGGGAGCGCAGGCGGCGCGUUAAGCCUGGUGUGAAAGCCCGCGGCCCAACCGAGGGACUGCAUUGGGAACUGGCGCGCGGGAGUGCCGGAGGGGUAGGCGGAAUUCCUAGUGUAGCGGUGAAAUGCGUAGAUAUUAGGAGGAACACCAGUGGCGAAGGCGGCCUACUGGACGGUGACUGACGCUGAGGCUCGAAAGCGUGGGGAGCAAACAGGAUUAGAUACCCCAGUAGUC